GUGCUCGCUUAAGCAGUGCAUAUACUAAAAUUGCAACGACACAGAGAAGAUUAGCAUGGCCCCUGCACAAGGUAAAUGGUAAUAUGGGUUUUUAACAUUUAUUU